rnacentral:rRNA from 1 species
AGAGUUUGAUCCUGGCUCAGGAUGAACGCUGGCGGCGUGCUUAACACAUGCAAGUCGAACGUGAGUUCCUCUUCGGAGGAAUGAAAGUGGCAAACGGGUGAGUAACACGUUGGUGACCUGCCCCCCGGCGGGGGAUAACCCUGGGAAACCAGGGCUAAUACCGCGGAUGUCUGAACGGUUAGAGGGUUCAGACUAAAACUGAGGUGCCGGGGGAGGGGCCUGCGGGCUAUCAGCUAGUUGGUGGGGUAAAGGCCUACCAAGGCGCAGACGGCUAGGGGGCGUGAGAGCGCGACCCCCCACAAGGGAACUGAGACACGGUCCCUACUCCUACGGGAGGCAGCAGUGAGGAAUAUUGCCCAAUGGAGGAAACUCUGAGGCAGCAACGCCGCGUGAACGAUGACGGCCUUCGGGUUGUAAAGUUCUUUUCUCAGGGAAGAUGAUGACGGUACCUGAGGAAUAAGUCCCGGCUAACUACGUGCCAGCAGCCGCGGUAAAACGUAGGGGACAAGCGUUAUCCGGAUUUACUGGGCGUAAAGCGCCCGUAGGCGGCUAAGUAAGUUGGACGUGAAAGCUCCUGGCUUAACUGGGAGAGGCCGUUCAAAACUGCUAGGCUAGAGUGAGGCAGAGGAGCGCGGAAUUCCCGGUGUAGUGGUGGAAUGCGUAGAUAUCGGGAGGAACACCAGUGGCGAAAGCGGCGCUCUGGGCCUAAACUGACGCUGAGGGGCGAAAGCGUGGGGAGCGAACGGGAUUAGAUACCCCGGUAGUCCACGCCGUAAACGAUGGAGACUAGUGUAGGGGGAUAGAACCCCCUCUGUGCCGAAGCCAACGCGUUAAGUCUCCCGCCUGGGGAGUACGGCCGCAAGGUUAAAACUCAAAGGAAUUGACGG